rnacentral:rRNA from 1 species
CCGCAAGGCUAAAACUCAAAAGAAUUGACGGGGGCCCGCACAAGCGGUGGAGCGUGUGGUUUAAUUCGAUGCUAAGCGAAGAACCUUACCAGGUCUUGACAUCCUGAUUUUGGUCGUUAGAAAUAACUUCCUUCAGUUCGGCUGGAUCAGUGACAGGUGCUGCAUGGCUGUCGUCAGCUCGUGUCGUGAGAUGUUGGGUUAAGUCCCGCAACGAGCGCAACCCUUAUCUUCAGUUGCCAUCAGGUUAUGCUGGGCACUCUGAAGAAACUGCCGGUGAUAAGCCGGAGGAAGGCGGGGAUGACGUCAAGUCCUCAUGGCCCUUAUGACCUGGGCUACACACGUGCUACAAUGGCAGUGACAAUGAGCAGCGAUAGCGCGAGCUUCAGCUAACCUCAAAAAUCUGUCUCAGUUCGGAUUGAACUCUGCAACUCGAGUUCAUGAAGUUGGAAUCGCUAGUAAUCGUAGAUCAGCAUGCUACGGUGAAUACGUUCCCGGGCCUUGUACACACCGCCCGUCACACCAUGGAAGUUGGUUUUACCCAAAGACGACAAGCUAACCGCAAGGAAGCAGUCGGCCACGGUAAGGUCAGCGACUGGGGUG